rnacentral:lncRNA from 1 species
GCUGCAAGAUGUUAUCAGGAACAAUAUGUCACCAAUUUUGUCAGGACAAGAAAAAUUAUGACGAGACAAAUUCCCAAGAAUUUGCAAUUAAAUACGAAAAUGAUAAACAAAUAAUCCCUUAGUCUCCUCUUUUUUUAAAAUCCCUUAAUCUCUUUCCUCUUUUUUUUUUUGUUUUUGCUGACUCUGAAAUCAAAUUUAUCCUUACAUAAACAGACUUCUCCUUUUUCUUUAAAAGCCCAUCUGUGUAAACUAUAAAUGAAUAUGCAACAUUCCUGUUGGCUCAACUCUCAACUACAAUUACUAGCUUAUUCAUAACAUUUUAACAGCCAAGAUUAUUGGUAAAUUUACUAUGGUAAAAAAUGAAUAAUUACUUUUAGCAAGCAGCGGAGGCAAAGAACAAACAUCAACAUAUUCUGAAACUCACUAUAACCAAACACUAGUAAUAAGUAAUAACAUGUAUUAUUGAACCAAAGUUGACAAUGGUCCACAUCAAAGAAGGCACCUACCAAGAGCAAACUUCAAAUUGAAUCUUGUUUUUUUAGACAAAUGAAAAUGUGCUUUACAUCAUCAUAAUAUAAUUUUCCUGAUAUAAAGAAAAUGCAACAAGAUAUAGGAUCUUGGUGGCUAACACAUCCCAUGUCUCACUGGGACCAUAGCAAACUAUUACAAAAAUUCUCUUUUGUCUAUGGGAGCACCAUCACUGUAAUACACGGAAAAGGUAUCUGACCACUUCAUAGACUAGUUAGUAGUAAUUUAUUUCUUUCCCCUUAUCCAACAGGCUUUGCUCCUGGUUCAUGAAUAAUUUACAUGCUUGAAUUAUCUUGUUACAUGUUUGCUUUUCACCAAUGUUAUAAUUAGCAUGUGAUGGGCACAUUGCAGUGGAGACUGUUCCUUAUAGAUUGCUGACUGUGUGCACCAUUGCACAAUGCCCAGAGGCCAAAGCAGACUACUAAAUACUAUUGAUCAAAUAAAAACACAAGUGCUUUAUUAUAUCAAGGAUCCAAAUAAACAUGCUUUAUUACAUAUGCUUCAUAUAAAAUGGUGAUUAUAUAUUCAGUCCUUGAAAAGGAGAAGGGAAGGAACAGUUUUUGUCUAAUAAUCUCUGCACUCCGAGGAACAAAGAUCACCAAUCUGUAUGCUCAAGCGUGGAGGAAUCAUCAGCCUCGUUGUUUGUCCUUUGUUUAAGGUAUAGAUAUAUAUAAGUUCAUGUCUCUAGGGUAAAAAGAUCAAGACCAAAGGUAGAAAAUCUUAACCAUCUUAACUUGACUAACUAACUCAUCACACCUAACAGAAUCAAUCCUAACAAAGUUUGCUUUCACUUCCACUUAAUUGCAGGUAAACAAUAUAGAUCAUUUGAUACUACUGUGUCCAUAUCACUCGCAUUCCACCUUAUACCAUUGUCGCAUACAUAGAAUUGUGCUCAAGACUUGAAAACACAAUUUAGAACAGUGCUUUUCACCUACAUGACAAGUUUAACAUGUCUGGCUAAAGGAAACAAACUAAUUACUAGUGAGGAACCCUACCAUCUGAAAGCUGUUAAAUUGCUAUUGUUUGCAGUGUAGAAUGCAAAUAAAAGAAAAUGAUGAAAUGGAGGAUAGCUUCUUAAAAUUUCUUUUGCAUGCAGAAAUUUCAUAAACAAGUAUGGGAUAAUAAAUUUUGUACAACUAUAGGUGAUCACUAACCCCAUUAAGAAGCUUCCGGCCAUUAGCGGGAAGAAUGUUGACAUACUUGGAGGCCAUAAGAAACCCCA